rnacentral:rRNA from 1 species
UACGUAGGUGGCAAGCGUUGUCCGGAAUUAUUGGGCGUAAAGCGCGCGCAGGCGGUCCUUUAAGUCUGAUGUGAAAGCCCACGGCUCAACCGUGGAGGGUCAUUGGAAACUGGGGGACUUGAGUACAGAAGAGAAGAGUGGAAUUCCACGUGUAGCGGUGGAAUGCGUAGAGAUGUGGAGGAACACCAGUGGCGAAGGCGACUCUUUGGUCUGUAACUGACGCUGAGGCGCGAAAGCGUGGGGAGCAAACAGG